rnacentral:lncRNA from 1 species
CAGUUGUUGCUAAGCAGAGUAUACAGGGCACAACUGUAGCCAACUGUCUAACUGAAGAUCACGCCUGGUAUUUCUCAGUUUGCAUGGAUUAUGAGUGGGGAAAGCAAGGAUUUCCCAGUUUACUGCAGAAGCUGAUGUCAUCCAGACAGACAGGGAACCAGGGAGAAGAGCAGAGUGAGGAAAGCAGAAGGGAUGACAGGGACAGUGACCUGGAGGCAGGAGCUAACCUGUGAGCCAAGAGACUCCUGAGUUAUGGGAUCUCUCUGGUGACCCACUUCCAUCGCUCUGUAGGCCACUAGGAGUACAGUGGAUUGAAUGUACUUGGCUCAGGGAGGCAAAUUACCUUUUAAUUGAGUCCCUUGAUUCAAGUCUUUAGAGAAGUAAUCCUGCCUUCUGCAUUCACUGGCCUCUAGAAAUACUGAGAGGAGGCAGAAGAUGACCAGAGAAGACCAUCCACAGGCCAGAGUACCUAAUACCUAGUGAAACAGAAGCAAAAUUUAAAAAUAUUAUU